ACAAAGAACUCUUUUCUGAACACGCAGGAUCCAGUCUGAUCUCGGAAGCUAAGCAGGGUCGGGCCUGGUUAGUACUUGGAUGGGAGACCACCUAGGAAGACCAGGUGCUCUAGGCA
rnacentral:rRNA from 1 species